GACGAACGCUGGCGGCGUGCUUAACACAUGCAAGUCGAACGGAAAGGCCCCUUUGGGGGUACUCGAGUGGCGAACGGGUGAGUAACACGUGAGUAACCUGCCCUUGACUUCGGGAUAACUUCAGGAAACUGGGGCUAAUACCGGAUAGGAAUCCUUGCUGCAUGGUGGGGGUUGGAAAGCUUCGGCGGUUUUGGCUGGACUCACGGCUUAUCAGCUUGUUGGUGGGGUAGUGGCUUACCAAGGCUUUGACGGGUAGCCGGCCUGAGAGGGCGACCGGCCACAUUGGGACUGAGAUACGGCCCAGGCUCCGACGGGAGGCAGCAGGGGGGAAUAUUGCACAAUGGGCGGAAGCCGGAUGCAGCAACGCCGCGGGCGGGAUGACGGCCUUCGGGUUGAAAACCGCUUUCAGCAGGGGCGAAGCUUGUGGUGACGGUACCUGCAGAAGAAGCACCGGCUAACUACGUG
rnacentral:rRNA from 1 species